rnacentral:rRNA from 1 species
GUGUAGCGGUGAAAUGCGUAGAUAUAUGGAGGAACACCAGUGGCGAAAGCGGCUCUCUGGUCUGUCACUGACGCUGAGGCUCGAAAGCGUGGGUAGCGAACAGGAUUAGAUACCCUGGUAGUNCACGCCGUAAACGAUGAGUGCUAGGUGUUAGGCCCUUUCCGGGGCUUAGUGCCGGAGCUAACGCAAUAAGCACUCCGCCUGGGGAGUACGACCGCAAGGUUGAAACUCAAAGGAAUUGACGGGGGCCCGCACAAGCGGUGGAGCAUGUGGUUUAAUUCGAAGCAACGCGAAGAACCUUACCAGGUCUUGACAUCCCGAUGCUAUUCUUAGAGAUAGGAAGUUACUUCGGUACAUCGGAGACAGGUGGUGCAUGGUUGUCGUCAGCUCGUGUCGUGAGAUGUUGGGUUAAGUCCUGCAACGAGCGCAACCCUUAUUGUUAGUUGCCAUCAUUAAGUUGGGCACUCUAGCGAGACUGCCGGUAAUAAACCGGAGGAAGGUGGGGAUGACGUCAAAUCAUCAUGCCCCUUAUGACCUGGGCUACACACGUGCUACAAUGGUCGGUACAACGAGUUGCGAGCCGGUGACGGCAAGCUAAUCUCUGAAAGCCGAUCUCAGUUCGGAUUGGAGGCUGC